CUCUCGGGCUUUCUUUGAAAGGCAGAUAAAAUCCCUUUUUCCCAUUUGUGUGGCCCAACACACAAUGCACAAACAGGUUCAUGACCAGCUGCAGCGGCCUGGGUCAGUGAGCUGACCGCCAGGAGGUGAUUUUUGCAAGAGAGUCAUAGAGGUAUCCACUUACCAAGUUGACGUCAGUGAGAGGCUGGAUCAAUCCCCAGAACUUCCUAUCUCAGACUUCUUGUCAUUUGAGAAGUUUAAAGAGGCUUCCUUCAAACCAGGAUCAUAAAAAUAGUUAUGCAUAUUUUCUUCUAUUAAUUUCAAGCCUUCAAGAUAACUUUUAAAUUGUUGAUCCGUCUGGAAUUUAUUUUGGUAUAAAAGUAAGGAAAACAAAUUACAAAAGUAACCUAUGCUUGCUAUAACAAAGUCAAACAAUACAGACAUGUGGAGAAUAAGCCUUGACAACCUCUCUCUCUUCCCCUUUAACAACACAUCCCAGAGGAAACUCCAAUCAGCUGCUUGUUGAGCGUCCAUCCUUUCAGAUGUUCUCCCAUUCUUAUGCAUAAACGCGUUUCAUGAAGAAGAGCUACCAAAAUAUCAGUGACAUUUUGACUAGGAUUUCAAUAAAUAUUUGUAAAGAUGUAUUUUCCUUAACGUUUCUGGCUUCCAAAUCAUGUAAUGCCUCAGCAUUUCAGGUUUUUUUAAUGUGUAUACCAGUAUAACACCACU
rnacentral:lncRNA from 1 species